CUUUAUCCCCGUGGUGAUUUGGCCGGUCGGCUUGCAGCCACGUUAAAGAAGUCGCUAAAAAGGCCGUGCUCGAAGCUCG
rnacentral:ncRNA from 18 species